UAAAGAUGCCAUGGGUUAUUGCAAAAGCAAUAGCUUUGCCACCUUCUAUGACAACACUGUAACCCCAGAAUGCUGAUAGAUGGGACUCCAUGGCACACCCUUCAGCUAUUGUGCAUCCAAAACCGAUUAUGGAAAUGAUGCUGAAAACAACCAUGAGUAGUUAGACAAGAAAAAGUGUAAGAAGCAAGUGACCCUUUGCUCCUAGGAGUGAAAAUAUCCGUCAGCACAAGAAUUGCAGCUAUUAUACAAAUAUGAAGUAAAUAAAUGGAAAAGAG
rnacentral:lncRNA from 1 species